rnacentral:rRNA from 1 species
UAAAGUGGCGAACGGCUGAGUAACACGUGGGCAACCUGCCCUUUGCACUGGGAUAGCCUCGGGAAACCGAGGUUAAUACCGGAUACUCCAUAUUUGUCGCAUGGCGAAUAUGGGAAAGCUCCGGCGGCAAAGGAUGGGCCCGCGGCCUGUUAGCUAGUUGGUGGGGUAGUGGCCUACCAAGGCAAUGAUGGGUAGCCGGGUUGAGAGACCGACCGGCCAGAUUGGGACUGAGACACGGCCCAGACUCCUACGGGAGGCAGCAGCU